rnacentral:rRNA from 1 species
GACGAACGCUGGCGGCGUGCUUAACACAUGCAAGUCGAGCGAUGAAGCACCUUCGGGUGUGAAUUAGCGGCGAACGGGUGAGGAACACGUGAGAAAUCUGCCUUCAACUCUGGGAUAACUCCGUGAAAACGGGGCUAAUACCGGAUAUGAAACCUGCGGGCAUCCGCGGGUUUGGAAAGUUUUUCGGUUGAAGAUGAUCUCGCGGCCUAUCAGCUUGUUGGUGAGGUAAUGGCUCACCAAGGCGACGACGGGGAGCCGGCCUGAGAGGGCGACCGGCCACACUGGGACUGGGACACGGCCCAGACUCCUACGGGAGGCAGCAGUGGGGAAUAUUGGGCAAUGGAGGAAACUCUGACCCAGCGACGCCGCGUGCGGGAUGAAGGCCUUCGGGUUGUAAACCGCUUUCAGCAGGGAAGAAGCGAAAGUGACGGUACCUGCAGAAGAAGCACCGGCUAACUAUGUGCCAGCCGCCGCCGUAA